UACGUAGGGUGCGAGCGUUAAUCGGAAUUACUGGGCGUAAAGUGUGCGCAGGCGGCAGAGCAAGUCGAGUGUGAAAUCCCCGGGCUUAACCUGGGAAUGGCAUUCGGGACUGCAAGGCUGGAGUGCGGCAGAGGAGACUGGAAUCCUGGUGUAGCAGUGAAAUGCGCAGAUAUCAGGAGGAACACCGGUGCGAAGGCGGUUCUCUGGGCCUUACCUGACACUGAGGAGCGAAAGCGUGGGGAGCGAACAGG
rnacentral:rRNA from 1 species